AAAAAGAACAAGGUGACUCUUCAAAGUUGCAGAAGUGAUUCACGCAUCAUCGACCGACCCAGAACAAUAUCUAACAAUGAAAGGACGUGCUAGCAUGUGAUAAUAAGAAGAAAAUGGUGUCCGUGUGAUCAAACCCUGAAGCACCACGCGUGGUGGUGGUGGUGGUGGUGGUGGCCGUGGCCGUGCCCGCUGCCGUGAGACGAGGGGUGGUGGUGGUGGUGGUGGUGGAGGGAGCUCUCCCGGUCGAUGGACUCCUGGACGGAGCGGAACUCCUCGACCUGGCAGGGGAUGGUGAUGGGCCCCUUCUGCUCGAACCCGAACUCCUCCUCGGCCUCCUUGAGGAGCUGCACGAACCGCGGGUGGUUCACGUACAUCACGG
rnacentral:lncRNA from 1 species